rnacentral:rRNA from 1 species
ACUCAAAUGAAUUGACGGGGGCUCACACAAGCGGUGGAGGAUGUGGUUUAAUUCGAAGCAACGCGCAGAACCUUACCAGGUCUUGACAUACCGGGAUUAUUUCCGUGAAAGCGGGAAAAUUCUCAGCAAUGAGGUAACCGGAACAGGUGCUGCAUGGCUGUCGUCAGCUCGUGCCGUGAGGUGUUAGGUUAAGUCCUUUAACGAGCGAAACCCCUACGAUUAGUUACCAGCGGAUAAUGCCGGGGACUCUAGUCGGACUGCCGCGCAAGCUGGAGGAAGGUGGGGACGACGUCAAGUCAUCAUGGCCUUUAUGACCUGGGCCACACACGUCCUACAAUGGGUGGUACAAAGGGCAGCAAGCUCGCAAGAGUAAGCCAAUCCCCGAAAGCCACCCUCAGUUCAGAUUGUGGGCUGCAAUUCGCCCACAUGAAGCUGGAAUCGCUAGUAAUCGCGGAUCAGCCACGCCGCGGUGAAUAUGUUCCUGAGCCUUGCACACACCGCCCGU